GGGAAGGUGGCUCAGUGGUAGAGCGCUUGCUUUGCAUGCAUGAGGCCCUGGGUUCUAUUCCUCACCACCACA
rnacentral:tRNA from 1 species